UACAGAGGGGGCAAGCGUUGUUCGGAAUUACUGGGCGUAAAGGGCGCGUAGGCGGCCUACUAAGUCAGACGUGAAAUCCCCCGGCUUAACCUGGGAACUGCGUCUGAUACUGGAAGGCUUGAGGAUGGGAGAGGGAUGUAGAAUUCCAGGUGUAGCGGUGAAAUGCGUAGAUAUCUGGAGGAACACCGGUGGCGAAGGCGGCAUCCUGGACCGGCAUUGACGCUGAGGCGCGAAAGCCAGGGGAGCAAACGGG
rnacentral:rRNA from 1 species